rnacentral:rRNA from 1 species
GACGAACCGAGCGAACGUUGUUCGGAAUCACUGGGCUUAAAGGGAGCGUAGGCGGGCUGCCAAGUCCGGGGUGAAAUCCUCCAGCUUAACUGGAGAACUGCCUCGGAUACUGGAAGUCUCGAGGAGGGUAGGGGCAAGUGGAACCGUGGGUGGAGCGGUGAAAUGCGUUGAUAUCCAUGGGAACUCCGGUGGCGAAGGCGACUUGCUGGACCCUUUCUGACGCUGAGGCUCGAAAGCCAGGGAGCAAACGGG